AAAUCCUCACUGGACCUAAAAUUCUAUUUUCUGAGACCUUGAUCCACUUAAACCUCGAUAUUCCUCAAUUCAAUUGUUAGAUCAAGUUGAAAUUUACAAGACACAUUAAAAACAACUAUAACCAUGAUCCCACAAAAUUUUACUUAUAGAUCUACUACAUAACUCUUGAAAUCAUCUAAAAUAUACACCUUAUUUUAUUUCACAAAAUCCAAGUCAUCCAAAACAUACCUUGACUUUGCAAAGCUAUUACAAAGUCAAUACGGAUCCAAAUCACCCGAAAUUAAUGCUUAUAGAAACCUUAUCCAAUCUCCUAUCAAAUCUCACUCUCCGAUCU
rnacentral:lncRNA from 1 species